GACGAACCGUGCGAACGUUGUUCGGAUUCACUGGGCUUAAAGGGCGCGUAGGCGGGCGGUCAAGUCAGGGGUGAAAUCUUUCGGCCCAACCGGAAAAGUGCCUUUGAUACUGGCCGUCUCGAGGGAGGUAGGGGCAUGCGGAACUUCCGGUGGAGCGGUGAAAUGCGUAGAUAUCGGAAGGAACGCCGGUGGCGAAAGCGGCGUGCUGGACCUCUUCUGACGCUGAGGCGCGAAAGCCAGGGGAGCAAACGGG
rnacentral:rRNA from 1 species